rnacentral:rRNA from 1 species
GAGUUUGAUCCUGGCUCAGAAUGAACGCUGGCGGCGUGCUUAACACAUGCAAGUCGAACGAGAACUCUUUGAGCUUGCUCGAAGAUAGUAAAGUGGCGCACGGGUGAGUAACGCGUGGGUAAUCUGCCUCCGAAACGGGGAUAACAUUGCGAAAGCGAUGCUAAUACCGGAUAAUAUCCUGUUGGCUUAGGUGAACGGGAUCAAAGGUGGUCUCUUUUUAAAAGCUACCGAUCGGAGAUGAGCUCGCGUACCAUUAGCCAGUUGGUGGGGUAAAGGCCUACCAAGGCGACGAUGGUUAGCUGGUCUGAGAGGAUGAUCAGCCACACCGGAACUGGAACACGGUCCGGACUCCUACGGGAGGCAGCAGUGAGGAAUUUUGCGCAAUGGGGGGAACCCUGACGCAGCAACGCCGCGUGAGUGAUGAAGGCUUUCGGGUCGUAAAGCUCUGUCAGGUGGGAAGAACCUGUAUGAUGACAAUACCAUCAUACACUGACGGUACCACCGAAGGAAGCACCGGCUAACUCCGUGCCAG